GGUUGAAUUGAAACAAUCUCGAUGUCAGCAGCACACCACCGCACCACACCACCUUUGAGUCCAUGCCAAAUACUCUCAAUCACCUUUCAAUUAUUUCAAUUCGAUAUAUCCUCAUUCAAAGCCAUAGAAACCUGAUGGAGAUCUGCUCCAAUAUUCUGAUGAGAAAACUGAGUUUAGAUCGUGGAGUCUUGCGAACAGGGGAUUCAGUAGCAAACACUGUAGACAAAGCCAAAUACCGGAGAAGAAGAAUCAACAAGAGCGGAAGCCAUGGAUACGGAUCAAGAAGCUCUGAUACCAUGAGGAGAGAAAACUGAGUUUAGAUCUCAAACGCCUUCCCUUUGCUGUAGGGGAGUACAUCCACUUUAGAUUCAAAUAGAUAUGGGCAUGUAGUAAUUGGAUGCAGAAGAACUUCAAAAAACAAUCAAAAUAGUACAUGCUUGAAGUAGGGUUUUAAAGCGUGGGAGCGCAUCUGCCUCAAUAACUCUCUACAAAGAAAAUCAAAAGUUAGCUAUGAUUUAAUCAAGUCACUGUUGGGAUCCCCAAUAUGUAAUACUCAUUAAAAUGUAAUACUCGAUAAAAAUGUAAUACUCUCUACAAAGAAAAUCACAAGUUAGCUAUGAUUUAAUCAAGUCACUGUUGGGAUCCCCAAUAUGUAAUACUCGAUAAAUUAAUGCCCCCAAUUCUAUAUGUAAUAACCUCCAUUUCCAUUGUGGCGCCUCGCUUUGCCCCCCAUUCUAUAUGUCACAAAAUAUCACCUAAUGUAACGAA